CAAAAAAUUGGAAAAGUUUUGGUUUUGGUUUUCUUGAGUACCUGUACCAGCAAUUCAGCUGAUCAUUAAACACAACCAGAAAGAAAGGCUCUAUUUUGCCUGUAGAGAGUUCAUCCAGAGACUGCCCAAGGGAUUUGUACAGAAUAAAGCUUCACAAAACCCAAGGGCUGUCAGAGGGAAAUGGUAUCCAGGAGGACAGGGCAGGCCAAGUAUCCCCUCAACAGCAAAGCCACACUAGAAAGCCAGAGGCAGCACUGUGGCUGCCAACACAACCGCCUACCACGUCUGCCAAGGAGCCAGAAGCCGCUUGUGGGAAAAUAUCACUUACCCUUAGCAUCUGGGUCCUGUGAUUGUUAUCCAAAGAGACAGAAUGAAAUUGCCACAGCCACCCCAACUUCAGUUAGCAGAUACCGACGUUGAGGCAGGGCCUUCCAAAGUCCACCAGGAAAAAGAUUACCACUUGCUGCAGGCUUGGAUGAUCAUUAGAACAUUUUAGCAAUAAAGUAUUUUUUAAAUUAAGGUAAGAUAUAUGC
rnacentral:lncRNA from 13 species